UAUGGUAGUGCCAGCCGCCGCGGUAAUACGGAGGAUGCGAGCGUUAUCCGGAUUUAUUGGGUUUAAAGGGAGCGCAGACGGGUCGUUAAGUCAGCUGUGAAAGUUUGGGGCUCAACCUUAAAAUUGCAGUUGAUACUGGCGUCCUUGAGUGCGGUUGAGGUGUGCGGAAUUCGUGGUGUAGCGGUGAAAUGCUUAGAUAUCACGAAGAACUCCGAUUGCGAAGGCAGCACACUAAGCCGUAACUGACGUUCAUGCUCGAAAGUGUGGGUAUCAAACAGG
rnacentral:rRNA from 1 species